UCUGAGAUAAAAGCUCAGCUCCAACCUUGCCUUGACUGAUCAGGACUCCUCAGUUCAUCUUCUCACCAUGAGGCUCCCUGCUCAGCUCCUGGGGCUGCUAAUGCUCUGGCUCCCUGGGACCAGUGGGGAUAUUGUGAUGACCCAGACUCCACUCUCCCUGCCCGUCACUCCUGGAGAGCCGGCCUCCAUCUCCUGCAGGUCUAGUCAGAGCCUCCGGUAUAGUGAUGGAUACACCUAUUUAGCUUGGCACCUGCAGAAGCCAGGGCAGUCUCCACAGCUCCUGAUCUAUGGGGUUUCCAACCGGGCCUCUGGAGUCCCAGACAGGUUCAGUGGCAGUGGGUCAGGCACUGAUUUCACACUGAAAAUCAGCAAGGUGGAGGCUGAGGAUGUUGGGGUUUAUUACUGCAUGCAAACUCUACAAGCUCCUCCCACAGUGCUACAUCCUCGAACAGAAACCUCUGUGCUGGGUUGGUCCAGCUGCCCACAUGUGCUGCUUGUCUGGGGAGCAGCUGAGCAGAGUCUCUGAGUCUGCAGAAGAGAAGGCUGUUGGAGACGUCAGGUGGUGUUUGCUGCUGAGGACGCUUCUCCAUGAGAGCCUCAGCAGCACCUCAGAUCCCACAUGUUAAGGCCCCACCAGCUGCCACAGCCUGGGGAGGGCCUCAGGAGGAGGAGAAUCCAUGGGGGCCACAUGCCCUGGGAGCAACCAGCUAUAAUGAAGGGAGAGUGAAUGAAAACCCACAUCCUCACCCUCCCUGUCUUGCCCACAUUUGUCAAGUUCAUGCAACUGUCAGAAUAACCAGACCAUGGAUGCAGUUUAGCGACAACACAAGUAGAACACACAUGGGAAAUGACCAGCUUGGGGAUUUUUUUCACACACGAUGGCACUUAGUCAUAUUGGGAAACUCAUAGUCUCCUGCCUUCCUAAUUCUGCUCUCCAACUUCCACUAAACCCUCCUCUCCAGUGUCUUACAGGAGAAAGCAUUCUACACAAGCUGUCUGCAGGGAACUAUGGCUAAGGACACUGAGUAGAAACGUUUGAUGUUGGAUUAUUCAAAUAGACUUUGUAAACUCAUGGCAGGUGUGAGAUCCAGUGUCAAAAAUUGAUUAGUCUUAAUUACUAUUCGGCAAGUGAAAAGCAAAUUUUCACAAUUCCAAAACUGUCCUUUAGAAAUAACUGCAUAAAGUCAAAGAUAAAAUAUAUAAAGUUUAUUUCAAGUACAAAGGAAACAUAGAAUUAUGUGAGAUUUUUUAUUUCUCUUCCAAAUUCUAAAAGUUUUGAAGGUAUUUAGGCUAAGUUCUACUUUAGAAUAGAAAUUCAUUACUGUGUUUUCAUAAGAAAAGAUUUCAAAGAAUACAGAAAUGCAUUCUUUUCAUGUGAUUACAUCAUUACCUGAAAAUGAAUCUGAAUUCUAUGUUUCAGUUGUAAAUGCAUGGAGCAUCUAUGCUUUUCAUAGAUUUUAUUAAACUUAGUGUUCUAAAUGAUAUUGAACCCGAUAAUGAGUCAUGUGAGCUACAUGGCAUAACACCGUGUGAUAGACACAAAAUAAUGACAGAAUCAACAGAAGAAGAUCCGCUUCAGGCUAAGGGUAUAAAGUACACUUGGGAAGAUUGUUUAUUCCAAGAUAUCAGAUUCCAUCUUAAGUGCAAUUAAAAUUACAAUGUUCCAUUUCUGUUAGGUUGAAAAAUUGUAUGGCAAAGUUUUUAUAGAUAUCAAUCACACUGGAGCCCUCAAAUGAAAAAAAUAUGGCACAAUAUGUUUUUAAAAAUACUGAUAUAUGCAUCAUUGAGCUGAAAAGGCAUUAUGCAGAAGGCAGUUAAGGAACACAAAGUGUGGCGUGGUGCAGUGGCUCCCAGCACUUUCAGAGGCCGAGGCAGGUGAAUCCGCUGAAGUCAGGAGUUUAGGACCAGCCUAGUCAACAUGGUGAAACUCUGUCUCUACUAAAAAUACAAAAAUUAGCCAGGUGUGGUGGCAUGGGCCUGUAAUUCCAGCUCCUCGGGAGGCUGAGGGAGGAGAAUCACUUGAACCCGGGAGGCGGAAGUUGCAGUGAGCUGAGAUCAUGCCACUUCAUUCACUCCUGCCUGGUCAACAUAGCGAGACUCUGUUAAAACACACACACACACACACACACACACACACACAAAGACACACAAAUUGUAAGUAGUAUGACCCAGAACUAAGAAAUGCUAUCAUCUUCUUCAGCCCUCAUGUGAUUGACAGCAUCUAGCGACCUUGAAUUUCUGCUUCGCCAUGAGACACAAGCUUAGUCCCAACCCAUUCAAGAUGGUUAGAUAUAUUUAACAAACACACAAACGACUCAUAUAAUGCUGAUGUAACAAAGGGCUACACUGUGAAAAGAAAUGGUGAAAGGUGAACAGUCCCCUAAACCUGAGAGAAGAUACGAGUAGAAUCAAAAUUGGCUGGUACAAAAAAGCCACUAGUUGCAGUUGACCAAAUGUGACAAGGUUCCUGUGUCUGUUGCCAUGGCAGUGCAGAGACAGGCAGGUGGCCUUGGUGGUGUCGGCGGCUCUGCUCCAUGAGGUCACUCAGGUGGGCAGGAGGCACAACCACCCUCAGCCCACAGCUUCCUCCAUCCUCACAGUCGCUGCCCCCACACCCAUCCUCAGCAGCAUGAGUGGAACAGAGUGAAGGGAAAGUUGUUUUCUUCUAAAUAUCAAAAAUCUUGAACUUGCAAAUAGAAAUAAAUGUUAUUUUUGCUGCAAGUACACAUUUGAGAAAUCUUCCACUGAGUGGACCUGAUAAUAAACCCACAUAUUUUGUAUGUUUUAACCUGAAAAUGUAUUUAUAUGAUUCUUGGAAAUAAUUUUAGAGUAUCAAAUUAUAUUUUAGCAGCUUAUUUCAAGUUGUUAUUUACCAUAUGAUAAUUACUCCUAAAACAUCAUCUAUUAAAAAAAAAAUCAUGUGUUGCUC